CUGAAGUCCUCCCCUGCAGGGACCUUCUCUCAACCUCACUCAAAUGGCCAAAAAAGUUGAGAAAACAGACAGUGUCCAAGUCCUCACCCUGGUCCUGCUAAUAAUCCUUGGAAUGGUUGAAUCAUCUCCAAAAUCUUAAAUUUCAUGGCAAUCAGCCUCUGACACAAUGCUUUCUCUCUCUGUCACCAAUGCCCCCAAUUUCCUUGCCCACCUCCUUUCAUCCCAGACCAGCAGCCCCACCUGACUUGCCGUCUUUUCUUUGAUGCCAGGGCCAGCCUGCAGUCUGCAAGCCUGGAUCAGCCUCGAAAACCACAUUCUGUGAGGCUGCACCUGGACUCUGAUCCUUUUGGAGACAAUCACUUACUGAUCAAUGGCGUCCCACCCUGCCAGGUCUGCAGGCUACCCGGGAGCCUUUCUCCACGCCCAGGCAAAGUUGCCGCUCCAUAUCUGAUAGUGGAGCAACUCAACAUCAUGGAAGCCAAGCAUGGACUGUACUUACAUUAUCUCAGAAUUUCCCUACUGUCCCACUUCAUUGGUGCUGUGCCGAGUUGUCUAAUAGGUGAAUUACUCAUAAAGUGCUGGUUUGGUAUUUAUCUUUCCAAGGUACAAUUUUUUUCCUGCCUACCUAAAUAUAUUUGCAUGUUUUUGUUCCCUUCAAGGUAUUGGAUGGAAUAUUGCA
rnacentral:lncRNA from 1 species